CAGCCGCCGCGGUAAUACGUAGGUGGCAAGCGUUGUCCGGAAUUAUUGGGCGUAAAGGGCUCGCAGGCGGUUUCUUAAGUCUGAUGUGAAAGCCCCCGGCUCAACCGGGGAGGGUCAUUGGAAACUGGGAAACUUGAGUGCGGAAGAGGAGAGUGGAAUUCCACGUGUAGCGGUGAAAUGCGUAGAGAUGUGGAGGAACACCAGUGGCGAAGGCGACUCUCUGGUCUGUAACUGACGCUGAGGAGCGAAAGCGUGGGGAGCGAACAGGAUUAGAUACCCCUGUAGUCCCUGUCUCUUAUAC
rnacentral:rRNA from 1 species